GACAGAGGGUGCAAACGUUGUUCGGAAUUACUGGGCGUAAAGCGCGUGUAGGCGGCUAUGUAAGUCGGGCGUGAAAUCCCACGGCUCAACCGUGGAAGUGCACCCGAAACUGCGUAGCUAGAGUCCUGGAGAGGAAGGUGGAAUGCUUGGUGUAGAGGUGAAAUUCGUAGAUAUCAAGCGGAACACCGGUGGCGAAGGCGGGUCUCUGGGCAGUAACUGACGCUGAGGAGCGAAAGCGUGGGGAGCGAACAGG
rnacentral:rRNA from 1 species